rnacentral:rRNA from 1 species
UACGAAGGGGGCGAGCGUUAUUCGGAAUCACUGGGCGUAAAGCGUGCGUAGGCCGUCUCGUAAGUUGGGUGUGAAAGCCCAGGGCUCAACCCUGGAAUUGCUCUCAAAACUGCAAGACUAGAAUCUCGGAGAGGAUAGCGGAAUUCCCAGUGUAGUAGUGAAAUACGUAGAUAUUGGGAGGAACACCAGUGGCGCAAGCGGCUAUCUGGACGAGUAUUGACGCUGAGGCACGAAAGCGUGGGGAGCAAACAGG